rnacentral:rRNA from 1 species
AGAGUUUGAUCCUGGCUCAGGACGAACGCUGGCGGCGUGCCUAAUACAUGCAAGUAGAACGCUGAAGAAAGGAGCUUGCUUCUUUUGGAUGAGUUGCGAACGGGUGAGUAACGCGUAGGUAACCUGCCUUGUAGCGGGGGAUAACUAUUGGAAACGAUAGCUAAUACCGCAUAACAGCUUUUGACACAUGUUAGAAGCUUGAAAGAUGCAAUUGCAUCACUACGAGAUGGACCUGCGUUGUAUUAGCUAGUAGGUAGGGUAACGGCCUACCUAGGCGACGAUACAUAGCCGACCUGAGAGGGUGACCGGCCACACUGGGACUGAGACACGGCCCACACUCCUACGGGAGGCAGCAGUAGGGAAUCUUCGGCAAUGGGGGCAACCCUGACCGAGCAACGCCGCGUGAGUGAAGAAGGUUUUCGGAUCGUAAAGCUCUGUUGUAAGAGAAGAAUGUGUGUGAGAGUGGAAAGUUCACACAGUGACGGUAACUUACCAGAAAGGGACGGCUAACUACGUGCCAGCAGCCGCGGUAAUACGUAGGUCCCGAGCGUUGUCCGGAUUUAUUGGGCGUAAAGCGAGCGCAGGCGGUUUAAUAAGUCUGAAGUUAAAGGCGGUGGCUUAACCAUUGUUCGCUUUGGAAACUGUUAAACUUGAGUGCAGAGGGGGAGAGUGGAUUUCCAUGUGUAACGGGUGAAAUGCAUAAAUAUAAUGGAGGGAACCCCGGGGGGAAAAAGCCGCUC